UAGCCUAAUGGUUAAGGCUAUGGAUCGCCUAUCCGGAGACUGCGGGUUCGAUUCCCGU
rnacentral:tRNA from 1 species